UGGUUGGAUGUCCUAGAGCACCACUGUGAGUCCAGACUGGAUCACUGCUGCUACUGAGCUGCUCACUUGGAAGAAAAAGAAAAAAGAAACAACUAUAUACUGGCUGCAAACUGGUGUCAGAUGGAUUGUCAGCCAAUGCCUGUCUGUGUAGAUAUGCUUGUCCUGGCUUCGCAGUAGGCAGUCACAUACAGAAGUGUACCAGUGGGCAUCCAAAGCUUGGGCAAAAGGAAGUCCUUGGAGACUCCACACGCUUAUCCCCACCUUUAAUGGGAUAAGGAGUCAGGUUUUCUCUGAAAUCCAACCAAAUAACCAGGUUUCAGCCUUCAGAUCUCUGUGGACACCUGGAGCACUGAGGUGUAGGUCAGUGACAACCUGGUGCCUGUGAGCACCCAUGUGGAUUCCUCCAAGCAGCUGCCAGGAUUUUAAUCUUGCAGUACCCAAGUGUUGUCUGUACGUCCGAACCUCAUUAUACCAAACAAAGAACACACUGUGUCCUAAGGAGCUUACAGUAGGAAAUCAAUAUUGAUUUUUCUUCUCUGCUGCCGUGGUUACUAGCUCGUGAGCAAACCAACACACGGCAGGUGCUGAGACACCCGAGAGAAGCAUGUCGGCUCUCAUCGAUCCAUCAUCCCAUCUCCUGCUGCCACUUCCCUUCCAGAGCCACCUGAGAGUUACACAUGCACAGACAGAAGGUAUUUAAGGUAUUUACACCUUCCUCUGAGUGAAACAGGGGGCUUGGUAUUACUCAAUUCACUGAUCAUGUUGAAGGUAAUCAUGGGAAUG